GCUUGUUUUUCUUCAUGCCGUUUCAGCUCAAGCAUCUGUGGUGGGAUUCAAGAAGGAAAACAUCAGUGUCUCGACUGGGUGUUUGGAACGGUCACCGUGAUAUCAUCCCUAAUGGAUUGAAUCUUUCGAGCGAAAAAUUUCAUGAAAUCAUCAGCUGAGUGGGAGGAACUAUCGGAAGGUGCUUGCCAAGGAGAUGAAUUUAAAAUAAUUUCAAGGAGGACCUUCUUGGUGUUAUUGCUUUAUGCAACGCAAUCGCUUCUCUAUCAGAGCAAUGACAUCGAUGCCCCAAAAACUCCCAGCAGACUUCCAAGUAAAGAUCGACCGUUUCCGUGAGUUCAUUGAGAAGCAUGUAAGUGAGCACAAUGUGACACCGAUCAUAUUAUUAACAUGGACGAGAUCCCCCUCACGUUUUACAUUCCCA